AAAUUGUUAAAGAAUAUUCUUAUCUAAGGAAAUCUUAACACACAGUGCCAAUCAAAAAUACUGGCAUCUUUUCUUGUGUUUCUAUUAAAAAUAAUCAGUCUGACAUUGCUAAUAUAGUAUUAAAAUGGCGAAAAUUACUAUAGGCUGUAUGUAGACCACGGGACGAGUUCCUGAAUCCAUUAUUUAUGAAUCUUGAAAGCUUUUAUCCCCUGUUUUGAUUUAUAAUAUACUGAUUAAAGUAAAUCAGUAUAUUGCUUAUUACUUAUUAUAUUAAAUUAUAAUAUUACUGAUUAAAAGUAACUAACGGAAUGUAAAACAUUGGAGCGCAAACUAGCACAGCACGAGAAAUUGAAAUUGAAAUAAGUUUAUUCGGGUAAAAUACACAAAGGGAUGAGGUAGCUCAAGCUAUUCUCACCCCGUUCAGUACAUCGUGUUAAUACAUACAUAGACACACAUCACAAGCAAUAAACGUAUUACCGAACAUUCUGAGAGAUAAACAUAUACAUUAACUAGCACAGCACGAGGAUAUGGUCGUUAAGCACUGUGACGUCACCAAUAACGCUGUGUUGGGCAAGAAGGUCAGGAGCGGCCGGCGCCGCCUCAGUGUCGGGCUGACAGCCAGCAGACGUAGUUCCUUGGGAGGUGUCCCGCUUCUUACAUCAUUUGCAGCUACACCGGUCAUCAGGUGGGUGUGGAUUUCUGUAAUGUAAUUCGCGGAACCAAUUUCAUCUGAAUUACUUUGGUUAAGACCGGGUAUUUGGGUCUGGCGUGACAAUGGCCACGAGUCUUCUUGAGAAAUAACUUUGUGAACGGAGGACUAGUCAGGCGCACAAGGCAUGGAACUAGUUCUGACGUGACGUAGUUGCAAGUCUCGAUAGAGGUGGUUGGACGGUGUUGAACACGGCGCCUGACAACGUUGCAGGAAUAUCUGAAAGAAAA